UUCCUUUCAUAUUUUUCAUGAUAAUAAAAACAGCGCUUUAACCUCAUCUUCAAAUCUAAUUUCAUUUCUCUUAAACCACCAUGGAAACUCUUACACCCCCUCAACCACCGUCGCCGCCGCCGUGAAAACCCCGGAUCCAGAAUCGAAGCCACCACAAUCCAACACCGUCACAAAACAACUUCCACCACCGUGAGCCGGAGGAGUCACUUUUCCCCUCCCCCACCACCCACCAUUCCGACGACAAUAGCCACACCUGCGAUGAAAUCGGUACGCCCCCACAACUUCUUCUACCCUCUGAACCCCUCUCAAUCUCGCAACCAAACCUUCCCUCUUUACCCUCUGUUCAUCUCCGACCGACGUGAACGGUGACGGCUAGAGUUUCGCCACACCAUGCGGGUGGUGAAAGGUGAUGGUUUCGCGGCGAUUGGGUGUCACAGGAGUUCCGCUUGGUGAUGAAAGGGGCAAAAACGAGUUUUCACACAUUAUUAACAAGAUAGUGGAGAUGGAUAUGAUCGGGUGGUUCUGCUGGUGGCACGAUGAUACUUCAGUGGUCCGUCAGUGAUCCAAAUUUGCCGUUCAAAAAAAAUAAAAAAUAAAAAUAAUAAUAAUAAUAAUAAUAAUAAUAAUUUCAUUUUUUAUUUCUAUCUUUUUAUAUUUAAGACUUAAGAGAACAUUUAAAAAAGUAUUAUUAAAAAAAUAUUAUCUACUUUCAUUUUUUUAUUUCUUUCUUUUUGUUGUUAAGAGAACACUUUAAAAAGUAUUAAAUUGUUCUUUUUAUUAUUAAGAGAACACUUUAAAAAAAGUAUUAUUAAAGGAGUGUGGUGGGAACUCCUAUUCAUCAUUAUUUUUUUAUAAUUACUUCACAUAAAUUAUUAUAUCUUUAUUUAAUUUUAUUGAUAGAUAAAAAACUAGUAGUUUCUUAAAAUUUCUCAGUUUUACUAUACAAUUUUAGUAGUACGCAUCGGAGUUUCUUAAAGUUUCACAGUUUUACUACAAUUUUAUUAGUAAGCUAAAAAAGACUCGACUCAGUUUUUACAUGCUAGUCAAACUUGACUGCUUUUGAUCAAAAUUAUAAGCUACACUAUCAACUGCGAUUUUAGAGAAAACAAACCAAAGCAGUUGGGUUGGUUGGGUCGGAAGGACCGGACACACUAACGGCUUGGUUGGGUUUUGAUUUUGAUGGUGUGAGAGUUUGAGACUUUGAGUUGAGAUUUUUUAUGUUUCAUUAACUUUUUGGAAAUGAUCAACAUUGAUUAUUUAAUGGUGAAUGAUUGCAACAAAUCAUAAGCAACUUGUGCUCUCCAAUCCAUUCGUGGGUGUAUAAUGGUUGGUAAUGGGGCAAAAAGGUAGUUUCGAUAAAACCUACUCCAAUUUUUUUGUUAAAAGUUGAUGCAAUUUUUAAAGAGAAUAUUCUGCUUAUAAUAAAGAAUUUUAAAGAAUUCCAAACAGUUUUUUAGAUAAGUGUUACAAAGAUUACAAACCUUUUUGACAAAAAAAAAUUAAAAAUAAUACAAAUUUUAGAUCUAAUUAAAUAAUCCAAAAUAAAAGACUAAAAUCAUCAAUCGAAAAAAAUUUUACACAAAUAACCAUGUAGUGGGAAAACUGUGCAGUUUUGAUCCUAUUUUGUUCAAAGUUACAGCCAUGGCCCAUAUUGUAUUAUUGUUCACAUUUGAUUCUUAUCAUUAAUACACAACACAACCCCUAUUUUAUGUGAACACUAUGGAACCCUAAAUGUGUUUUACAUGCUUAUCUCAUACAUAGUUUUGAGUUGUGGCUUCUUGUUUCCGGUUUUGAUCGAGUCUAGUUUUAACUGUAGAAGUUUAAUGUUAGUUAGCGAAUAUAAUCGAAAAAAGUUACUAACCUAGUACACGGUAGGGAUCGCCGAUCUAACUUUUGAAAAUUUUGAACCAAAACCGCAAUUUGGCCUUAGCGUAAGA